AAAAAAAUCACCUAAUGAUCUUGUUAAAAUGCAAAAUCUGCAUCAGCAGGUCUGGGAUGGAGCUUGAGAUUCUGCGUUCUUACAAGAAUCCAGGAGAUACUGCU
rnacentral:miRNA from 1 species